rnacentral:rRNA from 1 species
ACGUAGGUGGCAAGCGUUGUCCGGAUUUACUGGGCGUAAAGAGCGCGCAGGCGGUCGUCCAAGUCGCGUGUGAAAGCCCCCGGCUCAACUGGGGAGGGUCACGCGAUACUGAUCGACUCGAAGGCAGGAGAGGGUAGUGGAAUUCCCGGUGUAGUGGUGAAAUGCGUAGAUAUCGGGAGGAACACCAGUGGCGAAGGCGACUACCUGGCCUGUUCUUGACGCUGAGGCGCGAAAGCUAGGGGAGCAAACGGGAUUAGAUACCCCGGUAGUCCUAGCCGUAAACGAUGGACACUAGGUGUUGGUGGUAUCAACCCCGCCAGUGCCGAAGCUAACGCAUUAAGUGUCCCGCCUGGGGAGUACGGCCGCAAGGCUA